CUUGAAAUUGAUUCUUUACUGCCACAAAACUAAUCUUUAUACCCACACAUAAGAAGUAUUAACAGAUGUGCAGUAGUAUGAUUAGUUAGUAGUAUAUAUAAUGCAAAAGACGGUAUAGCCUCAACUCAACAACCCAUUCCCACCACCCACCUCUUAUUCAGUUAAUGGAACAAUAACAAACAGAGCAAAAAGAGCAGCAAAGCUUUAAAGGGCUUUGUAAAAGUUCAAUCUUUCUUGCAUUUCUCAUACCCCUUUUCCAAACACUGAGAAGGGUAUCUUCCUUUUCUUUCAUUGCUGCUGAUCAGUAAUGGACCGUGCAAGAAAGCUUGCCAACAGGGCCAUUCUGAAACGGCUGGUUUCAGAAGCAAAGCAGCGUAGAGGCAAUGGAGAAGCCAAUGAAUUGUUGUCAGCUCCUUCACCAUUUUAUAGGCCUUCAAGGUAUGUUUCCUCGCUGUCUCCUUGUUCGUUCCAAGGUCAAUAUCAAAGGACUUAUGUCAAUCCGAAAAAAAAUGCAUUUUUGCAUUCUGGGAUUGGCCAAGUUCGAUUUGUUUCUGUUGAGGCACUGAAACCAAGUGAUACAUUUCCACGCCGCCAUAACUCUGCAACCCCUGAAGAACAAAUCAAAAUGGUUGAGAAUUGUGGAUUCCCCAGUCUUGAUUCGCUUAUUGACGCCACUGUGCCUAAAUCUAUCAGGCUUGAUGGUAUGACGUUUAGUAAGUUUGAUGGGAUUAACUGAGGCUCAAAUGAUUGAUCACAUGCAAAAGUUAGCAUCUAAGAACAAAGUUUUUAAGUCAUAUAUUGGAAUGGGAUACUAUAAUACCUUUGUUCCGCCUGUUAUUUUGAGGAAUCUCCUGGAAAAUCCUGCUUGGUAUACUCAGUAUACUCCCUAUCAGGCUGAGAUUUCGCAGGGACGUCUUGAAUCCCUGCUGAAUUAUCAGACCAUGAUUGCGGAUCUUACUGGAUUGCCUAUGUCUAAUGCAUCUUUACUAGAUGAAGGAACUGCUGCAGCUGAGGCUAUGGCUAUGUGUAAUAACAUCCAGAAAGGAAAAAAAGAAAACUUUUAUCAUUGCUACUAAUUGUCAUCCGCAGACUAUUGAUGUUUGUAAGACUAGGGCUGAAGGUUUUGAUCUCAAACUGGUUGUCUCCGAUAUUAAGGAUAUUGAUUACAAGUCUGGGGAUGUUUGUGGGGUUUUAAUACAGUAUCCUGGCACUGAGGGUGAGGUUGUGGAUUAUGAGGGGUUUGUUAAGAAUGCUCAUGCUAAUGGUGUGAAGGUUGUCAUGGCAUCCGAUCUUUUGGCUUUGACAGUGUUGAAGCCUCCUGGCGAAUUUGAUGCUGAUAUUGUUGUUGGCUCAGCUCAGAGGUUUGGUGUCCCAAUGGGAUAUGGUGGUCCUCAUGCAGCUUUCCUAGCUACGUCCCAAGAGUACAAGAGGAUGAUGCCUGGAAGAAUUAUUGGUGUCAGUGUGGAUUCUUCUGGAAAACCAGCACUAAGAAUGGCUAUGCAGACAAGAGAGCAACACAUCCGCAGGGACAAGGCUACCAGCAACAUUUGUACAGCUCAGGCAUUGCUUGCCAACAUGGCUGCUAUGUAUGCUGUCUAUCAUGGACCUGAAGGGCUAAAAACAAUUGCCCACAGGGUUCAUGGUCUUGCUGCGACAUUUGCUGCUGGACUGAAAAAACUUGGUACAGCAGAGGUGCAGGAUCUACCCUUCUUUGACACAGUGAAGGUAAAGGUUGCGGAUUCAUGCAAUUGCUGAUCUGGCUUACAAGAAUGAGAUCAAUUUGAGGAUUGUGGACAAGAAUACUAUUACUGUUUCUUUUGAUGAAACAACAACUUUAGAAGAUGUGGACAAACUGUUUCAAGUCUUUUCAGGUGGCAAGCCUGUGGCAUUCACUGCUGCAACUCUUGCACCUGAGGUUCAGAAUAAAAUCCCUGCUGGGCUUUUAAGGGAGAGCCCAUUCUUGACUCAUCCUAUCUUCAACUCGUAUCACACAGAGCAUGAAUUGCUCAGAUACCUUCAUAGGCUACAAUCAAAGGAUCUUUCAUUGUGCCAUAGUAUGAUUCCUUUGGGAUCUUGUACAAUGAAACUGAACGCUACAACAGAAAUGAUGCCAGUGACUUGGCCUAGCUUUGCAAAUAUCCACCCUUUUGCCCCUACUGGACAGGCUGAGGGUUAUCAGGAAAUGUUCAAGGACUUGGGAGAACUUUUGUGCACAAUAACUGGCUUUGACUCUUUCUCAUUGCAACCUAAUGCUGGUGCUUCUGGCGAGUAUGCAGGGUUGAUGGUUAUUCGUGCAUAUCAUCAGUCAAGAGGAGACCAUCACCGAAAUGUAUGCAUCAUACCUUAUCAGCCCAUGGAACCAACCCUGCAAGUGCUGCAAUGUGUGGCAUGAAAAUUGUUCCUGUUGGAACUGAUUCAAAGGGAAACAUUAACAUUGAAGAGUUACGCAAGGCUGCUGAAGCAAAUAAGGAGAACCUAGCUGCUCUUAUGGUUACAUACCCUUCAACACAUGGUGUUUACGAGGAAGGUAUUGAUGAGAUCUGUAAGAUUAUUCAUGACAACGGUGGUCAAGUUUACAUGGAUGGAGCCAACAUGAAUGCUCAGGUUGGUCUGACCAGUCCAGGUUUUAUUGGUGCUGAUGUGUGCCAUCUGAAUCUUCACAAAACCUUUUGCAUCCCACACGGUGGAGGUGGUCCUGGCAUGGGUCCAAUUGGUGUGAAGAAACACCUGGCACCAUUUCUGCCAUCACAUCCUGUGGUAUUACUACUGGAGGUAUACCCCCCUGGAAAAAGCCAGCCCCUAGGUUCAAUUUCUGCUGCACCCUGGGGCUCUGCACUCAUUUUGCCAAUUUCAUACACAUAUAUUGCUAUGAUGGGUUCUAAAGGACUUACAGAAGCAUCAAAGAUAGCCAUCUUGAAUGCAAACUACAUGGCAAAGCGUCUUGAGAAUUACUACCCUGUUCUUUUCCGUGGUGUCAAUGGAACAGUUGCCCAUGAGUUCAUUAUUGAUUUGAGGGGCUUUAAGCACACUGCUGGAAUAGAGCCUGAAGAUGUUGCUAAACGUCUUAUGGACUAUGGGUUCCAUGGACCAACAAUGUCGUGGCCGGUUCCAGGCACUCUUAUGGUUGAACCAACUGAAAGCGAAAGCAAGGCAGAGUUAGACAGAUUUUGUGAUGCCCUUAUCUCAAUAAGAGAAGAAAUUGCCCAAAUUGAGAAAGGAAAAUUUGAUUUGCACAACAAUGUUCUCAAGUCUGCUCCCCAUCCACCCUCCCUACUCAUGGCUAAUGUAUGGACAAAACCUUACUCACGGGAAUAUGCUGCCUUCCCAGCUCCUUGGCUGAGGACUGCAAAAUUCUGGCCAACGACAGAACGUGUUGAUAAUGUCUAUGGUGAUCGCAACCUUGUGUGCACCCUUCUUCCAGCAGCACAAGUUGUUGAGGAAGAGAAGGCUGCUACUGCUUAAGCCUUACAAGUGCAGCAAAAAACACAAUGCUCCUCCACAAUCAUGAGAGCAAAUCUCCCUCAUCAUUUUGUAUAUAGACAUCCUUAUCCGUAUCCUUCUCUGUAGCUGCUGACUUUCAUCUUCUACCAUAUUGAUGUGCAGCUGCUGUGAUAACACAGUUGUUUCUAAUUUGAAGCAUUCAGAUGUAAUUACCAACUUUUCUGCUUCCUAUCUCUCUACAUGAUCUUAUUUAUUCAACAGCUACACUAAAAGGCUGCAUUCACAUUCAACCAACAGUGACAUUUAAUGUCAUGCUCUUUUACAA